UACGAAGGGGGCUAGCGUUGCUCGGAAUCACUGGGCGUAAAGGGUGCGUAGGCGGGUCUUUAAGUCAGGGGUGAAAUCCUGGAGCUCAACUCCAGAACUGCCCUUGAUACUGAAGAUCUUGAGUAUGGGAGAGGUAUGCGGAACUCCGAGUGUAGAGGUGAAAUUCGUAGAUAUUCGGAAGAACACCAGUGGCGAAGGCGGCAUACUGGCCCAUUACUGACGCUGAAGCUCGAAAGCGUGGGGAGCAAACAGG
rnacentral:rRNA from 1 species